rnacentral:misc_RNA from 1 species
ACCUGUGUAACCUCUUGCCUGGUGAGAUUUGAAGAAGUUGCAGAAAAACCACAGUACACGGGCCGUGUAAAUUGACUCGUGUAAGCAUCCAAGGCCCGUGUAACUUACUGCCCUCCAUCCAAAAAGAGGCCAUCAACUCCAAUAACUUACACGCCCCAAGCCGUGUAGUGACACAUGGGUCGUGUACUACAUUUCAGCAACUUUUUAAAUCUGACUCUAACUCCUAUUUUGACACACCAAUUGGAUUUCUAAUGCCCUUGGAACUCUAAAACUUAACCCUAGGACA